AAUUUCGAAAUAUUAGAAAUUUAUUUACAUUGCAAUUCACUUCUUCCUAAUUAAAAACUUAUUUAGAAACUGUUGUCUGACCAAAACUGUACUCUACUACUGAAAAUUGUCUUCUGCUCUGUGUUUACUUUUAAGUUAUCUGCAUCCUGUUAUCAUUGGAAAUCGAAUCAGGAAUGUGUGACAUACUUUCACACAUUGUAUACAAAUUAUAAAAUACAUAAAUGAUUCGCUGUGUGUGGUUAAAUCGCGACUGUCAUUAUGAAAAAAAUCGCAGGACGCAAAUAUCGAUCAUAUAAAAUAUUCAUAUAGGAUUCUAUAAAAUUUAACCUACUAUUAUGUAUAUCAUAAAAAAUGUAUAACAGGAACAUUAUCGUAAUGAUAUACUUCAAUUUUCUAAUACAAAAAAAAUUUCAUUCAAAUAAUCGACUAUUAUUUCAAAUAAAUAUUUCAAUUAUUAUUUUGUUAUUUGUUGCAA